rnacentral:rRNA from 1 species
UACGGAGGGGGCUAGCGUUGUUCGGAAUUACUGGGCGUAAAGCGCGCGUAGGCGGCUUUGUAAGUUAGAGGUGAAAGCCCGGAGCUCAACUCCGGAACUGCCUUUAAGACUGCAUCGCUAGAAUUGUGGAGAGGUGAGUGGAAUUCCGAGUGUAGAGGUGAAAUUCGUAGAUAUUCGGAAGAACACCAGUGGCGAAGGCGACUCACUGGACACAUAUUGACGCUGAGGUGCGAAAGCGUGGGGGGCAAACAGG